CGAACGCUGGCGGCGUGCCUAAUACAUGCAAGUCGAACGCUUCUUUCCUCCCGAGUGCUUGCACUCAAUUGGAAAGAGGAGUGGCGGACGGGUGAGUAACACGUGGGUAACCUACCCAUCAGAGGGGGAUAACACUUGGAAACAGGUGCUAAUACCGCAUAACAGUUUAUGUCGCAUGGCAUAAGAGUGAAAGGCGCUUUCGGGUGUCGCUGAUGGAUGGACCCGCGGUGCAUUAGCUAGUUGGUGAGGUAACGGCUCACCAAGGCCACGAUGCAUAGCCGACCUGAGAGGGUGAUCGGCCACACUGGGACUGAGACAUGGCCCAGACUCCUACGGGAGGCAGCAGUAGGGAAUCUUCGGCAAUGGACGAAAGUCUGACCGAGCAACGCCGCGUGAGUGAAGAAGGUUUUCGGAUCGUAAAACUCUGUUGUUAGAGAAGAACAAGGACGUUAGUAACUGAACGUCCCCUGACGGUAUCUAACCAGAAAGCCACGGCUAACUACGUGCCAGCAGCCGCGGUAAUACGUAGGUGGCAAGCGUUGUCCGGAUUUAUUGGGCGUAAAGCGAGCGCAGGCGGUUUCUUAAGUCUGAUGUGAAAGCCCCCGGCUCAACCGGGGAGGGUCAUUGGAAACUGGGAGACUUGAGUGCAGAAGAGGAGAGUGGAAUUCCAUGUGUAGCGGUGAAAUGCGUAGAUAUAUGGAGGAACACCAGUGGCGAAGGCGGCUCUCUGGUCUGUAACUGACGCU
rnacentral:rRNA from 1 species